AAUUACCCCAUCAAUUUCAACUUGUAACCCCUUUUUUAUUUCCCUUGGCUGCUGAACCGAUCAGGAAAAAAAAAAGGUGCUUCACAACUCUUCUUCUCUCUUUUGCAUUUUUCGUCCAUUUAUGCACACCCAUUUCGUUUGCAUCGUAUCUCCUUCAUUUCUCAUCGGAAUUGGACGUGUGAGUAGUCAAAAUCUAUCUACUCGGAAAGAUCUUGCUCGUGGUGUAAUUUGUUUUUGAAUAGAGGGAAAGACGAGACUGCAGUUUCUGUUUCAAUCAGACGGGUCACCCGGUUUUGUUUCCCUGUCGUACCUUCACGAAUUUGAUCAUCGCGGAAGAUCGAACCGUUUGAUCGCCCUGAAAUUUGGACAGCAUGUUUAGGACAUAUGGGCCUUCAUUAUGAGCGGAGAGAUUUGGAAUCAGAGCUACAAAUUGUCAGGAAUCAAGAUCGGAGCAGAGCAGUACAUAAUGAAAAUGCAAGCAAUUGGAGGUCUUCAAAGGAUAUAUGUUGAUGACGAUCUUAUUUGGUUUUGGGCUCGGGUUGAGAUGUGAGCAUUAAAAUGUUAGAUGUUUUAGGCCUAGACUCUUUUAUUAAUUUAAGAGUUAGUUUUCUCUUUUGGUUAUCAAUUUAAUUUAUUUAUACUAUUUAUUUAUGUUUGUUUUUUUUCACUUAGAUAUUUAAACACAUUUCUUGUAGUAGUGACCUUCCCAGAAGACGAUGUUUCCGCCAUCGUCCUAUACUUCUAUUAUUAUUAUUUCUUUCUCUUA